AUGACAGCCAAGAGAAGAAAAUGAGGACUUUCUGUUGAACAGAGCAAGAUAAAACAAGCACAGACAACAGGACAUUUUGAGUUUCUCUAAUAUUGAUUCACAUCAAAUAAAGGCGGAACUCGAAGAUAUAGGGGAACAUGGCCAAAAUGCUUAAAGGGGAACAUGGCCAAAAUGCUUAAAGGGGAACAUGGCCAAAAUGCUUAAACUUGGCUGUGAUCGAAGAAAUCCUCAGUCCAACUUGUCCUUGUUCUGUUGAGGUUCAAAAUAAUGGUCACAAUUGAUAUUACAGAAAUUUUAGUUAAUACGGCCAC
rnacentral:lncRNA from 1 species